rnacentral:rRNA from 1 species
GGGCCCGCACAAGCAGCGGAGCGUGUGGUUUAAUUCGAAGCAACGCGAAGAACCUUACCAAGGCUUGACAUCCCUUGCGAGUCUGGGAAACCAGAUGUUCCCUUCGGGGACGAGGAGACAGGUGGUGCACGGUUGUCGUCAGCUCGUGUCGUGAGAUGUUGGGUUAAGUCCCGCAACGAGCGCAACCCUUGUACUUAGUUGCCAGCAUUAAGUUGGGCACUCUAGGUAGACUGCCGGUGACAAACCGGAGGAAGGUGGGGAUGACGUCAAAUCAUCAUGCCCCUUAUGUCUUGGGCUACACACGCGCUACAAUGGUCUGUACAAAGGGAAGCGAAGUCGUGAGGCAGAGCGGAUCCCAUAAAACAGAUCUCAGUUCAGAUUGCAGGCUGCAACUCGCCUGCAUGAAGUAGGAGUUGCUAGUAAUCGCGGAUCAGAACGCCGCGGUGAAUGCGUUCCCGGGCCUU